AGCAGCCGCGGUAAUUCCAGCUCCAAUAGCGUAUAUUAAAGUUGUUGCAGUUAAAAAGCUCGUAGUUGAAUUUCGGGGUUAGUAGGUUGGUCAUGCCUCUGGUAUGUACUGGUCUCACUGAUUCCUCCUUCCUGAUGAACCUUAAUGCCAUUAAUUUGGUGUUUUGGGGAAUUUGGACUGUUACUUUGAAAAAAUUAGAGUGUUUAAAGCAAGCUAACGCUUGAAUACAUUAGCAUGGAAUAAUGAAAUAGGACGUUCGAUCCUAUUUUGUUGGUUUCUAGGAUUGACGUAAUGAUUAAUAGGGAUAGUUGGGGGCAUUAGUAUUCAAUUGUCAGAGGUGAAAUUCUUGGAUUUAUUGAAGACUAACUSCUGCGAAAGCAUUUGCCAAGGAUGUUUUCAUUAAUCAAGAACGAAAGUUAGGGGAUCGAAGACGAUCAGAUACCGUCGUAGUCUUAACCAUAAACUAUGCCGACUAGGGAUCGGAUGGUGUUAAUUUUUUAAUGACUCA
rnacentral:rRNA from 1 species